CCCCCCCCCCCCCCCCCCCCCCCCCCCCCCCCCCCCCCCCCCCCCCCCCCCCCCCCCCCCCCCCCCCCCCCCCCCCCCCCCCCCCCCCCCCCCCCCCCCCCCCCCCCAUUUUCACGCCCAAGACGGCAUACGAGAUCGCUCAGUGUCUCGUGGGCUCGGAGAUGUGUAUAAGAGACAGGCCCCGUACACAAAAGUGCAUGUGCUGUGAGCUCGAUGAGUAGGGCGGGACACGUGGUAUCCUGUCUGAAUAUGGGGGGACCAUCCUCCAAGGCUAAAUACUCCUGACUGACCGAUAGUGAACCAGUACCGUGAGGGAAAGGCGAAAAGAACCCCGGCGAGGGGAGUGAAAAAGAACCUGAAACCGUGUACGUACAAGCAGUGGGAGCACAGGUUUACCUGUGUGACUGCGUACCUUUUGUAUAAUGGGUCAGCGACUUAUAUUCUGUAGCAAGGUUAACCGUAUAGGGGAGCCGUAGGGAAACCGAGUCUAAACCGUGCGUUAAGUUGCAGGGUAUAUACCCGAAACCCGGUGAUCUAGCAAUGUGCAGGUUGAAGGGUGGGUAACACUAACUGGAGGACCGAACCGACACUAGUUGAAAUAUUAGCGGAUGACCUGUGGCUGGGGGUGAAAGGCCAAUCAAACCGGGA
rnacentral:rRNA from 1 species